rnacentral:rRNA from 1 species
GAAUUGACGGGGACCCGCACAAGUAGCGGAGCAUGUGGUUUAAUUCGAAGCAACGCGAAGAACCUUACCUAAGCUUGACAUCCCAAUGACAUCUCCUUAAUCGGAGAGUUCCCUCCGGGGACAUUGGUGACAGGUGGUGCAUGGUUGUCGUCAGCUCGGGUCGUGAGAUGUUGGGUUAAGUCCCGCAACGAGCGCAACCCUUGUCUUUAGUUGCCAUCAUUAAGUUGGGCACUCUAGAGAGACUGCCAGGGAUAACCUGGAGGAAGGUGGGGAUGACGUCAAAUCAUCAUGCCCCUUAUGCUUAGGGCUACACACGUGCUACAAUGGGUAGUACAGAGGGUUGCCAAGCCGUAAGGUGGAGCUAA